GAUGAACGCUGGCGGCGUGCCUAAUACAUGCAAGUCGAGCGAACGGACGAGAAGCUUGCUUCUCUGAUGUUAGCGGCGGACGGGUGAGUAACACGUGGAUAACCUACCUAUAAGACUGGGAUAACUUCGGGAAACCGGAGCUAAUACCGGAUAAUAUUUUGAACCGCAUGGUUCAAAAGUGAAAGACGGUCUUGCUGUCACUUAUAGAUGGAUCCGCGCUGCAUUAGCUAGUUGGUAAGGUAACGGCUUACCAAGGCAACGAUGCAUAGCCGACCUGAGAGGGUGAUCGGCCACACUGGAACUGAGACACGGUCCAGACUCCUACGGGAGGCAGCAGUAGGGAAUCUUCCGCAAUGGGCGAAAGCCUGACGGAGCAACGCCGCGUGAGUGAUGAAGGUCUUCGGAUCGUAAAACUCUGUUAUUAGGGAAGAACAUAUGUGUAAGUAACUGUGCACAUCUUGACGGUACCUAAUCAGAAAGCCACGGCUAACUACGUGCCAGCAGCCGCGGUAAUACGUAGGUGGCAAGCGUUAUCCGGAAUUAUUGGGCGUAAAGCGCGCGUAGGCGGUUUUUUAAGUCUGAUGUGAAAGCCCACGGCUCAACCGUGGAGGGUCAUUGGAAACUGGAAAACUUGAGUGCAGAAGAGGAAAGUGGAAUUCCAUGUGUAGCGGUGAAAUGCGCAGAGAUAUGGAGGAACACCAGUGGCGAAGGCGACUUUCUGGUCUGUAACUGACGCUGAUGUGCGAAAGCGUGGGGAUCAAACAGGAUUAGAUACCCUGGUAGUCCACGCCGUAAACGAUGAGUGCUAAGUGUUAGGGGGUUUCCGCCCCUUAGUGCUGCAGCUAACGCAUUAAGCACUCCGCCUGGGGAGUACGACCGCAAGGUUGAAACUCAAAGGAAUUGACGGGGACCCGCACAAGCGGUGGAGCAUGUGGUUUAAUUCGAAGCAACGCGAAGAACCUUACCAAAUCUUGACAUCCUUUGACAACUCUAGAGAUAGAGCCUUCCCCUUCGGGGGACAAAGUGACAGGUGGUGCAUGGUUGUCGUCAGCUCGUGUCGUGAGAUGUUGGGUUAAGUCCCGCAACGAGCGCAACCCUUAAGCUUAGUUGCCAUCAUUAAGUUGGGCACUCUAAGUUGACUGCCGGUGACAAACCGGAGGAAGGUGGGGAUGACGUCAAAUCAUCAUGCCCCUUAUGAUUUGGGCUACACACGUGCUACAAUGGACAAUACAAAGGGCAGCGAAACCGCGAGGUCAAGCAAAUCCCAUAAAGUUGUUCUCAGUUCGGAUUGUAGUCUGCAACUCGACUACGUGAAGCUGGAAUCGCUAGUAAUCGUAGAUCAGCAUGCUACGGUGAAUACGUUCCCGGGUCU
rnacentral:rRNA from 1 species